GGUACAUGCCCUUGACCGGAAUCGAACCUGGGACCUUUCAGUCCGCAGGCCAAAGUUCCAUCCACUGAGCCAAACCGGUUUCGGCUAGCCAGUAUUUCUUGUCAUUAGUAUAUUUUGUAUAAAUUAUACUGUGUGAACUGAAGAAUAAGGAAAAAAGAAUUAGAGUGGAAUAAGUAAUAUCUGGAAUAAGGAAUAAGUAAUAACAAUCCUAAAAUAUUUGCAAUUCAAUUUAAGGAGUGUAGAGAAGGGCCUCAGGUGGAGUAAUAAAGCAACAGACCUGGGAUCUCUUAUCAGUUCUGCUACUCAGUGGUGUGAGACUUGAGGCCAACUUAAACCUCAUUUCCUCAUCUGUGAAACGUGAAAGGAUUAAGGUUCCCUCUAGCCUUUAAAAUUCUCCAAUUCCCUGGGUUUCUGUAGUUUGUGGUUCUUCAGUUAACAUAUUCCCAUUACUAAAAACAAAUCAAAAGCUAAAUUAUGCCUAUGGUCACACUGAACUUAAAAAUUUCCAAAUAGCUUCUAAUUAGUUAAACCAAUAAUUUUAAACCAUAGUGUUUCUUCAGAGGUGCCUCACGACUUCCCAGGAGGGGAUAGGUCUCUGGACCCCCUACCGUACCUCUGAACUAGAGCAGCUCUGAUUCAGUGUGUUUCUGGGUAUCUGCUUUUUAUAUGUGAUUUUGUUUGAAGAAAGAAAGGGUUUCAAAAUUGGGAAAUAAUGGAAUCAGAUCAUUUCACCUUUAUUAUCAUUGUCAUCACCAUCAUCUUGUUCAUAAUGAUCAACAUAAUCAAAACCAGUACUAAUGUGUAUAACACUUUUUAUACUAAGUGCUUAACUGAAAAACCUGUGUGCUUUUCCAUGAAUAUUGCAUUUCAGAAUCAUCAGUAAGCACUAAAAAAUUUAUCUGAACCUGUUGUAAACAGUUUUGUGAAUUGUGGUUUAUGUUGCAUGCUUAUUUAUUGUCUUUGUUCCCUCAAAGUCUUUUUAGGAGAACAUGGGCUAUACCAAAUAUAUUUGAAAAGUUAUUUUAAAGAAAGUAUUUUCGAAUAUUAGAGGAUAGGAUGAGUUUUGUAAAGAUCCUAAAAAUGUCAGAAUGUUAUAACAUGAAUGUAGCAACUAGGCAUUAUAAUAUGAAGAAAAAGCUUUGCAUAGAAUA